rnacentral:tRNA from 1 species
CAGGAAAUAGUUUAAGUUAAAAUUUUGGUUUUGGGGACUAAGGAUUUAGAAAGUCUGAUUUUCUGA